rnacentral:rRNA from 1 species
UACGGAGGGUGCAAGCGUUGUUCGGAAUUACUGGGCGUAAAGGGCGCGUAGGCGGUCUGUUAAGUUCGGUGUGAAAGCCCCCGGCUCACCUGGGGAACUGCGCCGGAAACCGACAGACUCGAGUACCGGAGAGGAGGGUGGAAUUCCUGGUGUAGCGGUGAAAUGCGUAGAUAUCAGGAGGAACACCGGUGGCGAAGGCGGCCCUCUGGACGGAUACUGACGCUGAGGCGCGAAAGCGUGGGGAUCAAACAGG